CGCUGUACUUGGUGAUGUGAGGCCAGGGCCAUCUUUAACAAGGGGCAAACGGGGCAGCUGCCUCGGGCCCAGUUGCUCCAGGGGGGCCCAAAGCAGCUGUCCCGUGGGCCCCCUGCCCGCAGCCAGGACUGAACAGCCCACCAGGAUACUGAGAAAUAUCCCAGUGGGCUGCGGCAAGUGAAGUAAUCAGGGCCCCCCGGCCCUUUAAUUGAGCACCCGACCGGGCCCCUGUCUGUAUGCCUGCUGGGAGGAAGUGAGGCGAGAUCACUUCCUCCCAAGUAACAGAGUGCCGCUGGGGAGGAG